rnacentral:rRNA from 1 species
UACGUAGGGUGCGAGCGUUACUCGGAAUUACUGGGCGUAAAGCGUGCGCAGGCGGUUUUGUAAGCCAGAUGUGAAAGCCCCGGGCUCAACCUGGGAAUGGCAUUUGGGACUGCAAGGCUGGAGUUUGGCAGAGGAGACUGGAAUUCCUGGUGUAGCAGUGAAAUGCGUAGAUAUCAGGAGGAAUACCGAUGGCGAAGGCAGGUCUCUGGGCUAUAACUGACGCUCAUGCACGAAAGCGUGGGGAGCAAACAGG